rnacentral:rRNA from 1 species
CCGCCGCGGUAAUACAGAGGGUGCGAGCGUUAAUCGGAUUUACUGGGCGUAAAGCGUGCGUAGGCGGCUUUUUAAGUCGGAUGUGAAAUCCCUGAGCUUAACUUAGGAAUUGCAUUCGAUACUGGGAAGCUAGAGUAUGGGAGAGGAUGGUAGAAUUCCAGGUGUAGCGGUGAAAUGCGUAGAGAUCUGGAGGAAUACCGAUGGCGAAGGCAGCCAUCUGGCCUAAUACUGACGCUGAGGUACGAAAGCAUGGGGAGCAAACAGGAUUAGAUACCCCCGUAGUCCCUGUCUCUUAUACACC